rnacentral:lncRNA from 1 species
CACAAAUGAGAUGAUGGCUAUUCGGCUCGCAGGUUUCGGCGUCUGCAACGUCUGCUUGCUUUAUGCCGCAACACCCGACAGUCUCAAGAAAUACAUCUAUAUUGAUACUAAGAUUCUUUGGACCUUGUAUAAGGAUGCGUAUCAAAAAGGUACUUGAGCUUCUAGUAUAGCCACGAAGGCAAGUUGUACUUCAUCAAGAUCACCGACCAAUGUGCUGUGAGUGCAUCUAUAUCUAUGCCAAGAUGCCUUGGGCCUUGUAGAAGGAUGCAUAGAGCAAGGUAUUUUUGCUUCUAGAAGAUCACUAGCCAUGUACUAAGGGUUGGUCUUUUCACCAAACAGAUUCACCCCCCUCCGUACUCAAAGAAAACCGAAUAUUUCUUGGAUCGUUUCCAAAAUCUUGAUGCCGCUCAUUGAACUUUAUCCAUUGGUGAGCAUCAGCUGGAUGUUGAAGCUUUCUAUCCCUCUUCUUGCGCUAU